rnacentral:tRNA from 1 species
GCCCCUGUGGCGGAACUGGUAGACGCGCUCGACCCAAAAUCGAGUUGCGCAAGGAGUGCUGGUUCGAUUCCGGCCAGGGGCACCA